AUUGAACGCUGGCGGCAUGCUUUACACAUGCAAGUCGAACGGCAGCGGGGGCUUCGGCCUGCCGGCGAGUGGCGAACGGGUGAGUAAUGCAUCGGAACGUGCCCAUGUCGUGGGGGAUAACUACGCGAAAGCGUGGCUAAUACCGCAUACGCCCUGAGGGGGAAAGCGGGGGAUCUUUCGGGACCUCGCGCGAUUGGAGCGGCCGAUGUCGGAUUAGCUAGUUGGUGGGGUAAAGGCCUACCAAGGCGACGAUCAGUAGCUGGUCUGAGAGGACGAUCAGCCACACUGGGACUGAGACACGGCCCAGACUCCUACGGGAGGCAGCAGUGGGGAAUUUUGGACAAUGGGGGCAAUCCUGAUCCAGCAAUGCCGCGUGUGUGAAGAAGGCCUUCGGGUUGUAAAGCACUUUUGUCCGGAAAGAAAUCGCUUUGGUGAAUAGCUGUAGUGGAUGACGGUACCGGGAGAAUAAGGACCGGCUAACUACGUGCCAGCCGCCGCCGUAACAC
rnacentral:rRNA from 1 species